rnacentral:rRNA from 1 species
UACGGAGGGGGCUAGCGUUGUUCGGAAUUACUGGGCGUAAAGCGCACGUAGGCGGCUUUGCAAGUUAGAGGUGAAAGCCCGGAGCUUAACUCCGGAAUUGCCUUUAAAACUGCAUCGCUAGAAUUGUGGAGAGGUGAGUGGAAUUCCGAGUGUCGAGGUGAAAUUCGUAGAUAUUCGGAGGAACACCAGUGGCGAAGGCGGCUCACUGGCUCGGUACUGACGCUGAGGUGCGAAAGCGUGGGGAGCAAACAGG